rnacentral:rRNA from 1 species
AUUGAACGCUGGCGGCAUGGCUAAAACAUGCAAGUCGAACGAGAACCUCGCAAGAGGGGACAGUGGCGGAAGGGUCAGUAAUGCGAUCGAAUGUACCCCGAGGUGGGGAUAGGUCGGGAAACCCGGCGUAAUACCCCAUGUGCUCUCCGGAGCAAAGAUUCAUCGCCUUGGGAGCAGCGGUCGUCCUAUCAGGUAGUUGGCGGGUAA